GCCCACGCGUCCCGGGCUUCAGGGGAGCACCUGGGAAGCGCUGGGGGUCGCGUGCCCUUGGCCGGAGGCCUGGUCACCCGCAGGCCCUGCCAUCCUCGGCUUGGCCGCUGCUGCCCGCGCGCCUGUGGCGGAGCGAGCCUGCCUCCAGGGCAGCCUCACCGCCUGGAUCCUGGGCAGGAGACCUCCCAGGUCCCUUCCUCUCUCCAGCUGUCUGGAAUGGAGCCGCCAUGUCUGGUGCUCAAGCGGCCAGCUCUGACCCAGAGGGUUAACCAGUGUUGGUUCCUGUUGUUUACAACCAAGAAUCCUGAGAAGUUCAUAUGUAGCCCACACAUAAGCUGAAGUAUUGCCUUAUGACAUAUUCUGAAUAUUCCAAUUAUUUUGCAAAUAAUUCCACUAAGAGAUUAAUACAUUCUAGAGCAUGUAGCUGUGGUUCAUUCAUUUUCAUAACUGUGUAAUAUUUCAUUGAAUAAAUUUGCUCUUUCUAUAUUUUCAAACCACUUUAUUGAGAUAUUGUUGAAAUGUUAAAAAGUUGUACAUAUUGAAUGUAUGUAACUGGAUUUUGAGGGUAAGUAUACACCCAUGAAACUAUCACUACCAUCCAUCACCUCCUAGCUUUCUCUCACCCCCUUUAUCAUCAUCAUCAUUAGUAUUAUUUGUGCUGUAAUAUAUUUAUCCAUUUUAUUUUUGAUGGACAUUUGAUAUUGAUGGGUAUUGUUUUCAAGUUUUGCAUUACAAUGCUGAUAUAAGGAUUUCUGUAUGUAUAUUUUAGUGUACAUGAAAAAGUAUUUUUCUGUGAUAUAUUCCUGAGAAUAGAAUUGCUAAAUCAUAGAAAAUGCAUAUGUUUAAACUUAUUAGAUAAUGCUAUUUUUCUAAAGUGAGUAAAACAACUUAUUCUCCCACCAGGAGUUACUGAGAGAAUUUAAAUAUUUGCCUAAAAGUCCUUUAAUAUUUUGUUACAUUUAUGGCUAGGUAUUUUAUGUUUUGGUUGCUUUUAUAAGUAGUAAUUUUUUAUUUUUUAACCAUCAGUUACUGGUGUAUAGAUAUGCAGCUGACUUUUGUAUAUCAAAUUUAUGUCUAGAAACCUUACUAAUCUCAGAUUUAUUUGGGUUUUUUCUGGGAAAGACAAUCAUAUUAUCUGGAAAUAAUGCCAAUUUUGUUUUUAAAUUUGUAGUUCUUAUACUUUGUAUUUCUUUUUCUUGUCUUAUUGCACAAUGUGGGAACCUUCAGUAGAAUGUUCACUAUAAAUGGCACUGGCAAACAUUUUUGCUUUAUUUGACUUUAAAGGAGUUGCUUUUAAUAUUUGACUAUUUAAUAUGACAUAUGCUGUAUUUAAAUCUUUAAAAAAGUCUAAGAAAAAUUUUCUAUUUCUAGUUU
rnacentral:lncRNA from 10 species